rnacentral:lncRNA from 1 species
CUUACAAACACAGUGAGUAAUCUGCCCCAUUCAGAAACCAGGAUUCUGUUUCCUAGGAUACCCAGAUACACACGAGAUGCCCUUUCACAUAAGAAAGGCCACUGAAAAUGAAUGUCUCCUCCCCAACUCUGAGACGAACAAGGGACAUGUUGGAACAUGGAGAACAAAGCUGGCUCCAGUGAGAGAGAAGAAAGUUGAUUCCACUGAUGUAAGAGGAAGGAGGAAUUCUAUUGGAGAUGGCACCCUGUUCUUGCCGUUCCUGAGUCCCAACUCUUCCUAAUGCUUCUGCAGCGUGGUGGUCCUGUGAGAUACUUUUUUUUGAAGAGUCUCUCCUUGCUUACAGCAGUCCAAGUUUGAUUUCUGUCACUCACAAUGACCCACCCACCUAUUCUGUCCAGAUUCAUACCAUCUGGAUAAGAAACCAAAGUGAAGAACUUGAUAUAACUGGCAUGGUGAGACAAGAGCCAAGCCAUCUAUAGGAGAAACAAGGAAAAACCCAGAAACAUAUCCCUGGCAUGAGGUUCAAUAUAGCAAUGCACAGUUGCUUUCUUGAAUGUCACAGUUGCUUUCUUGAAUGUCACCUUAGCAGGUGGCUUAAUCCCUAAGAUACCGAAACUCUGCUCUCUCCCCAGCUUUGAAAAGACUGAAAAAUUAUUCACAUUCAUGAUCCUGGAAAGACUCAGAAGCCUCUUCUCAAGACAUCAAAUGCUGAUGAGUACAGGUUAACCCCAGGUAGAGGGCUGGCUGAAGGAUCCUUCAAAGUAGGAGGAAAAGUAAAGCCUAAGUAAUAAAACUCUACUUUCUCAUAGAGUGUUGGGGUAAGGAGCUUUUUUUUUUGUUUUUUGGAUGUCCAGGAAGUAUUUGGCUGAAAGAAUCUGAAUUUAUAAAAUAUUCUCAAAUCAAUGACUCUUUCAGACAAAGCAUGGAUCCAUAAAUUUUAGGAAAAAUAUAUAUAUUUGUCCAUUGUUCCACUUUUCUAGUUCUGCCUACAAUGGGUAAGAGACGACUUUGUAUGACAGGCACAGG